CGAUAACUUGUGUCUGUCGGUCCCGGCCUCACGGUCGGGUUAAUAGGGAAGCCGGUGUGAUUCCGGCGCUGCCCCGCAGCGGUAUGUGGAAACGAACGCCGUCAAAACGCACUGGGGCAACGGUCCCCGGGAAGCGACGGUCACUAGGUCAGGCGCCUGCCUGGAGUCCACGAGUCCGAAGACCUGCCGACAGCCGCGCGAUGCA
rnacentral:ncRNA from 2 species